CUAUCAAAAGAAAUUUUGAGAGUAAAGCUGCUAAUUUCAAAUUUUAUGCUUGCGUGACACAUGGAAGUACUGAUGCUACAAAUAUGGCUCAGCUUUCCAUUUCUAUUAGAGAAUGACACUGAAGAAAUGGCCUCUUUCGGGCCAUUAAAAGAUCUUAUUUGUAUGAAGCGGUAAAAAUUACCUUAAAGCAGUUUUCUUUAACCUUUGUCAACAAACCUGCUAUAGCUACUGAUGGCUCCCCAGCUAUGGAUGUUAAAAAAGAGGGACUCAGAAAGUUAAUAGAAGACUUUGUAAUUGCCCCAGAACCUCACAUUUGAUGAAAUAUUGCUGCAACGUACAUCAAGAAAAUCUGUGCACAAAAGCUUUAUAAAUGGAUAAUGCCACGCAAAUCGUAACAAAAGCUGUGAAUUUCAAGAAGUCCAAGGGAUUGAAUCAUUGCCAGUUCCAGGAGUUCCUUAAAAGCAGGGAUGCUAAUUAUGGGGACAUCUUUUACUUUUCUGAAGGAAGGUGGCUAAGUCAGCGUAAAAUGCUAAAAAUAUUUUAUGACUUGCGAAAAAACAAAGUAUGUUUUUGUUGCUCUUUUUCAAUGUUGUAAUAAAAAUAUUUUAAAAAGAGGUUUUGUUACUUAUAUAAAUUAACCAUAUUAUAUAUUUUAUAUGCAGCACAAGACAAUUUUUCUUCACUUAGUGCGGCUGGACACUCAUGGACAAGAUGACCUCUGUAGGUCCUUUCCAACCCCUAUGUUUCUGUAAUUCUGCAGUUUUGUGAAAAGGAGACUUGUCCAUACAGAGAAUCACUGCUCUGUUGGUACAAAUAGCCAGAGCCUGCUGCCUGCUUCUGAUGAUCCAAACCCCUGUGGCACAGCUCAUAGAGCACUCUGACCCCUCAUGCCAUGCUGCAGAAGUUGUUUGUUUGUUUAAGAUAAAAUCUCAGGUUAAGAACUCCUUCUAGCAAGAGUCCAUAGAGUAGAGUACUCCAGAAUGAGAAACCUCUAGCGUGAAGACUGCUCAUGUGAUCCUCAGGUGCAACUUCCUUGUUCCUACACCGCAUGUCAGAGGUUACAUGGCCACAUUCCUAGGGGCAGCCCUCACUCAAACGGGUAAUACCAGUGACUUCAAGCACUGCUUUUGGACAAGCCACCACCAAUAAUCCAGAUAAAGAACCUUGGGACACCUACUGCUUGUGCUUGCACAGCUUUCGCACCAAUGGGAGCACGUAACAGAACCCAAAAAUGUUAUAAGACAAACCUAAGGAACCUGAGGAAGCUUGUACAUUUGUACCCACGGCGUGGUUAGAGAACAUCAGCUUCUUGAACUGAACAUACUUUAGAAGCAUACAAAGUUUGCCAACUUUUUUUUUUGUUUUAAUAAAAGCUUGUUUUCCACCUAGAAUUACUGUCCAUAUACACAUCUAAUUAAACAUAAAAUCCAACAUUAGUUCACUAGCAGCACAAAGAAAAGUUGUUUCACAACAGAAGCGUGAAGACAGAAUUUUCUCCACUCCUUCCCACCCUCUCGGUCACAAUGAAAGACUUUCUUCUCAAGUGUGCACUAUUCGAAGACUAGGUCUCUGAACCUUACACAUUUCCAACAAGAAAAUGUGACCUAUGAUACAACAUUUUGAAAUCAACUCAUUCUUAAGUAUUUACAAAUGCCUACAGAGAAAGUAACAAUACACAAACCCAUGCAAUAUUACUCCCCAGCAGCUACCACAUAUUUAUUCCAAACCACCAUUUAUAGUUUUGAAUACAUAUGUUCAGUUACAUGACUUAUAAAUCUAAAAUACAGAGUCAGGAAGGCAAAACACACAACUCAUGAUCGUUUAAAUCUUUAGAAGAUAUUCUCUAGACACACAAAUAUUACUGACUAUUAUGACCUUGCUGGAAGACACACUUUUCCCUAUAAUUCCUAAAACUUGUCAUUAGUCUUCUAUCAAAUGGUUCUUUCUCAUAUACGAAGAAAAUAACUCUUCCAUUUUGUGCUAGAACAACCUCAGUACUACUAGCCAAAGUGGAACGAUCUUAUCCUCCAGUCAUAUUAGAAGUGCUCUUCCUGUGACUUGAAAGGCUCAUCAUCAUGUACAAUGCAGAAUUCGUAUUUUUCUUCAUAACUAUUUUCGUCUCUGUUGCCUCCAUUUUCUUCCUCUUUUCCUUUAUUAGCCCCUAUGGUGCAUUUUUUCAAUAUAUGAUCAAUAUCUCUUCAUUAUUCCCUAUUCCAUAUGCAUGCCUCCCUUCUCUAGUAUUUCCAGUGACAAAAACGCUGACACCACAGAGAUUUCACAACUCAAUGUACUGCUUGAAACUUCAGCUCCAGAAAGUGAUAAACCUGAAUAUUUUUCCUCUAAUGCAAUUUAACAGCAUUUUGAGUAAAAGCAGAAGGACCACAGCUCUUUCUACAUACAUCAGAAGAUGUUACUGCAAUUUGAGUUAAAAAUUUAAACAUAAAUCAGGCUAUUUUACCACUUGCAGUGAAGCUGAGAGAGGUGGUUAAAUGGUGGUGGUUUAA